rnacentral:lncRNA from 1 species
GGGAAACGGAAUGUUGCAACAAGAGGUCCCAGCAUAAAUUCAAGCGCCUGAGUCUAAAGGAAGAAGAGACGCGUCUUGAAAGAAGCGGCUUGUGAACAUUAAAUUAUGCCCAACAUAACAAGUCUGAUGAAGAAAGUCGUAUCCCUGGAGGAACCGCCGACAAACUUGAUGAAGAACGCCAUGUCCCCAGUGGACCAACAAAAUGAUGAAAACUGGUACUCAGAAAAGCAAAGGGCCAGUGUCAUCCCCCAAGUUCAUGAAAUAAAAGCAUCGGAGGAAAACACAAGCCGACAAGAAAGCAAGGCAAUAAGGAACAAGUUGCAGUCUAGUCCAGCUUCUUGUUUUUCUUUUAAGCGCAAUGUAAUAAGGGGACCGUUAGAGCAGCACUAACAGCAUACAUCAGCAUGUAACAGCACACAACAACAGCGAAUGUUACAGUCACAUGGUAGUCCCAGCUACCAAAACUUCCCGAACUAUAUUGACCUGAUUCCUGUUCAGCCCAGGAUAUGUAGGAACCUCUGAAGCAAAGGUUCGGUCAAAUCUUUUUUCAAAAAAUGCUUCACACGGAGUAUUCGGACGAGCAAAAAUCGCUCGCUUUAUCUUUGCACGAAAACCCUUCGUGUCUUCGGGCAAAGAGGGGCAGCUGUAAACACGUGAUUUCUUGCUCUGUAUGAGAAUCACUCCCAAAAAUUCAAAAAUUAGAAAAGGGUUACCUUCGGGUACAAUUUUGAGAAUCUGCGUGACAUUUUAAUAAUUGUUCUGUCCGUAAAUACUCACCUUGCUAUAGUUAAGAAUACAAAAAAUAUGUGUCACAUGUGCAUUUACGAUUUAAUUGUGCAUUUAGGAAUUAAUUAAACUUUAAUUUGGUUUUAAGGAAAAAUCACAAAAAAUAUGCAUCUUUUAUUCUAUUUAUUGUCAUUAAGUGAUUUUAUUUUAUUUAAAUGGUUAAUGUGUGUGAUAAUUGUUGUCUAAGUAAUAAUCAAUAUUUGUAUAAGUUUUAUUUUUGAUUUUACAACUUAGUUAGGAAUUUUGUUUAAAUUAGAAAUUAAAAGAAGGAAAAGAAAAAAGUUUUAAUUGGAGGAAAAUCCGGAUUUGGGCUCAAAUUUGAGACCAAAAUUAGGCCCAAAACCAAAACAGACCCAGCCCAACCCAGGCUGCCCAAGCACGGCCCCAAACGACAUCGUAUCGGCGUCCUUAUUUGAUCCGUUGAUUUGAUUCAAAUGAACGGUCCCGAUCAGGCCGCUCAUUUAACCACAACGACGCCGUUUCAGGACGUUUGAUCUGAGCCGUCCAACCCCAUGGAUCCAACGGAUCCAGGCCCUCCCAUAGGCCCGUUAAUCUGACCCGAUCCAUUCCCCUACCCGGUCUCACCCACCAUAACACCCAAACGACGUCGUCCUUCCUGAAUGAACAGAUCCUGGCCAUAGAUCUCACUUGAUCCAACGUCCAGGAUCUAAACCCUUAAUCAAUAUAUAAACCUAACCCUUUUACCCCGCCCCCCUAUCCAAGCCCCCACCCCGUUCCUUCAUCUCUCUCAGAAAGGACCCCAAAAUACCCCGAACCCUAGCAGCCGCCAUAGCUCCCCUUUCACCUGAACCCGGCGGCAACAACGUCGAUGACCACCAGACUAACACCCUUAAAACACAAGACCACCCUCAACCCCGAUCUGGUAAUGGUUUGGCUCGAAUCUUCCUGGAACGUCUCGAAUAAUCAUUCGAAGGUUCGAGCCUAAACCCUAAGUCACCGGAUGAGUCCCAAAUUCACCCUGGUCACUCCCCUGACAUCCCUCAUGCCCUAAUCAACUUUGGUUCCGGUCAAAUAUAAGCAGAACUCUUCGAACCCCAAAUCUGAGUUCAAGAACCCUAAAAGCCAAACCUGGUUCGUUUUGAGGUAAGCUUCCGGUGUAUUCUUCUUUUCUUUCUUUCUGUUUAUGUGCUAUUCACAUGUUCGUAGAUUUGUUUCUGGAUUUUGAUUAUUUUUCUGUCAAUCCCUCCCAUCUUCAAAAACCCUUUUUAUUUGGCCGAUUUCUUUUUCUUCAGUGUUAAGUGUAUGUUAUAAGAUGUCUAUUCUCUUCGAUUGAUAUUGUCGACUAGUUUCAUAAACUCCAUGUUAAAUAUCCCGAGUAUUGAAAUAAUUUGGUGCCCUGUUUAGUCUAUGUUGUUUGUCGAUUAAUUGUUACGUAUAAUAGUUCGUAUAGUCGACCUGAGUAACGUCGUCAAAUAAUUAAGUUUCGUAAGUUCCAUUGUUGUCCGAAAAAUGCCUGAAUCACUCAGUGGUUCUGUUUUGAGUUUAGUUGAUUAGCGACUAAUUGGUAUACGUUAUAACUCGCAAAGUCGACUCGACACAUGUUGUCCUUUGUUUUUGCAGUAUUAAAUGGCAACAACUUAACUCUUACUGUCUAAUUUUUGUUGAACGGUUGUGUUGGACUGAUUAUAGGUUUGUUUGUUAGUUGUGGGGGUUCGAACUAGUUCUCAAAUGGUUAUAACUGGCAGAUUCAAUAGAAUGAAAGGGUGGGGCAAGGCAGUAAUGAUCAAGGGUCUGUUGGGUAAUUUUGGUUGGGGCAAAGACUGAUUAAAUGUUCAGGAUUAAUGGGCUAUCAAUUGUUUAAUCAAAAAAUACCAUUAAUUUAGUAUUAGUGGGGACAAAACAUAAGAGCAUGGGAUUUUAAAAUGAAUACUUAAAUGAACCCAUGACUCUUGAUUAGAGCAAUAGGCCAAGCAUGGGGAACCAAAUGACUUGCAUCAAGAAGAUGCUUAGGCAUGGGAAGUGAAGGGUAUGGGCAGAGCUGGAGGCUGUGAAGUUCUAGGCAGACCUUAGGGGGUCUCUUUCAGAUUAUAAAUAGAGCUAUUUUUUGGCUAAGGGUGGAUAGUUUGAGGUUGGAAAAACUGAAAGAAAAAAAAACAGAAAGAAAAUUUCAGAACGCUGUAACUAAACACUGUCUGAAAACUGCAUAAGAGAUUAAGUUGGUCAAGCUGUCUUUGCCAAGUCAGUUAUUCUAGUUGGGCUAUUACUAUUCCAUUAGGAUAUUCUGAUUUUCUCUGCGGGAUUACUACUAUUCUGGGCUUCUAUAUGCUGCUAACUGGUUCUGGUCUUAUUGCUAUUUGAAGUUGUUGUUGGUUAUUUGCCAAGCUUUUGUGAUUAUUGAACUGCUGUUGCUAUUGCAUUGAGUAUUCUGGGUUUUUCUGCUGGUUUGCUACUCUGUUUCUGGGUUUGUUUUUGUGGUGCUCGACCACCUGUGGGUUAUCGUUGUUGAAACUGAUGUUGGGUGUUCUUGAGCUAGAGGUUACAUUGUUGUUGUUUGCACUGCUGUGUUACUGCUGCUUGGUUGCUUGCUGCUGAUAUUCUUCCUCUUCUUCUUGUUCUUGUUGUCUAAAUCCAGGUACACAUACUAAGUCGAUGUAAUUCCAUGUUUGAAGUUGACAUUUGAAGCAUGAAUACACACAUGAAGAAGUCGAAGUCAUAAAUUGAAUUUUAGUUGUUUUAUUGAUUGUACUUAAGCCAUUUUGUGUAUCAUUGAUAUGUAACUCCUGCCAAGGAGUUGUAUAAUUAGAUCGUCUUUUAUAUAUGCCGUUAUUUAGCUUGUGAACUCCCUAUGUAGGUCCUUAGUUAAAAUAUGGACAUAAUGUUAGAAAGCACCCUGCUUACUUCAGUUUGUUAUAAAGAUGCAUGUUAAACUAGAGUUGGGUAAAUGGAUUUCUAAUUGUCAGGACAGUCUAAUCUCAGCAUGCAAACGGUUCGAAUUAGGAUUAAAACUUGAUCUUAAAGUCUUUUCAUGACAACAAAUCGCCUAUUUUAAACUUACAAUAAUCCUAUAACCCAAUUUGCAAGAAUUUCUACAUCAAGAGAGUAAUGGUACAAGUAAAUAAAAGACCACAUAAUAAUCAAAGAAUCACUAACAAUUCGAAGUUUGAACUUUACAAGUUUAUCGGUAUCCAACAAAUUAAACAAACUUACGUAAAUGAAACAUCAUAGAAUGCAACAAAUAUUACAAAAAUAACAGGUCAAGUAAAACAUGUGACAAUCAAGAUGUGCAAGUAAAACAAUUAAAGGCAAGUAGCAAAUAGCCAUGGAGUCAUGGAAGGGAUGAAUAAUUUAGUACGCGAACAAUGAAAUGACAAAUAAUAAUUAUGGCAUAGAAGUCAAAGAAAGCAAGUAACAAUUAAGGCAUGAACACGAUAAUUCGUGAAAUAACAAAAAACAUAGAAAACAACGCGACGACGUAUAUACACUCGUCACCUCGCUUAUACGCCAUUUUCUCACAUAAUUCGCAUAACACAUAGUUCAAAAAUUCCUAAUUCCCUCAAGUCAAGGUUAGAUCCAACACUUAGCUCACUCUACAAUCAAAUCAAAGCGCAACCAGGGUCUCUCCUCUAGAAUUAGCCUAAAACCCAAUCAGUUCUAACCAAAUAUAGUUCAAAUAAUUCAAAAUAAGCUUUAGAAACUACCCACGAGUGAAAAAUAUUCAAUCUUUAAUGAUUUUGGAUAAAGUCAAGUCAACCCUAGGCCCUGCUUGGUCAAAAUCCGAGAUUCAGACCAAAACUCAAUUACCCACUCACCCCCGAGCUGGGUUAUUAGUUUCGAAAUUUGACCGCAAUUUGAGGGCUAAAUCUCAAUUUCUCAAAAUCCCCAAUUUUUACCUAAAUCCUUAAUUUCUACCAUGGAAAAGCAUAUAUUAAAGGUUAAAAUCAGUGGAUGUUUAUGAACGUUGAAGAAAACAAGUUAAAAUCUACUAACUUUUGAAGUUUGGAUGAAAAACCUCUUCAAAAUCGCCUCUAGGCCGAGCUCAAAUUUGAAAAUGGUGAAAAAUGGUUUGAUUCCCGGCUUUGGGAUAUUUAAGUUACUAGGCGUCAGUCCUUCUUCGCAUUUGCAAAGGGCGUGACACGAUCGUGAAGAGCAGCGACCCAAAUGGCCUUCGCAUUCGCGAUGGCUUGUCCCCCUUUGGCUUCGCGUUCACGAGCCUCGGCUAGCAUUUUUGUAGAGCAUCUGACCAACUCCCACUAGAAUCCCAUAACAAUACGCAUUCGCGAAAGGCUGAUCGUGUUUGCGAAGGGUAAACCCCCCGUGCUUCGCGUUCGUAACCAAGCCAUCGCGUUCACGAUGAAGGAGUUCCGCCCCUAUCCCAGCUUCCCCUUCGCGAUCGCGGGAGUACCUUCACGAUCGUGAAGCACAAAAAUCUCAGACACCAGCUAUCAACAAAACUAGCAGAUCCUCUAAGUCCAAAAUCAAUCCGUAGCCUAUCUGAAACUCACAUAAUCCCCUCGGAAUCCAUAUCAAACAUGAACAUAAGUGUAAUAACAUCAUACAAACUCGCUGGCGCGAUAAAAACACCAAAAUAACACCUACAACUACGAAUCAGACAUCAAAAUGUAUGAAACUUAAGAACUUUCAAAUUCACAACCGAGCGUCCGAAUCAUGUCAAAACAAUUUUGUUUUGUACCAAAUUUUGCAGACAAGUCAUAAAUAGUAAAAUGAACCUAUACUAAGUCUGGGAACCAAAUUCUGGGGCUGAUAGCUAUAAAGUCAAUAUAUUGUUAAACUUCAGAAUUCUUUAAACCUUCAAUUUAUUAGUUUUCAACAAAUCACAUCAAAAUAAGUUAGGGACUUCCGAAUUCAAUUCCGAGCAUGCACCCAAGUCCCAAAUCAUGAUACGGAUCCACCGGGAUCGUCAAAUACCGAUCCGGGUCUGUUUACAUAAAAUGUUGAUCAUAGUCAACUCAAACCAUUUUUAAGGCAAAAAUUCACACUUUUAACAAUUUUUCACAUAAAGGCUUCCGGUAUAAGACACGGACUGUGCAUGCAAAUUGAGAAAUGCUAAAUGGAGCUAAUAGAGGUCUCAUAAUACGAAAAUAAAGGCUAAAACUCAAAAUGACCUAUCGGUUAAUCAUAUUUUCCACCUCUAAAAUAAACAUUUGUCCUCGAACUUACACAAAAAGGUACCUGGACUGGUGAAAAAGUGUGGGUAUCAACUCCGCAUGUCGGACUCAAACUCCCACAUAGCUACCUCGAUCGCCUGACCUCUCUACUGCACUUUAACUGAAGGAUAACUCUUAGACCUCAACUUUCGAACCUACCGUUCUAGAAUGGCCACCGGCUCCUCUUCGUAAGUCAAAUCCUUGUCUAAUUGGACUGAGCUGAAAUCUAAUACAUGGGACAGAUCACUAUGAUACUUUUGGAGCAUGGAGACAUGGAACACAUGGUAAACUGCUGAUAAGAUAGGUGGUAAUGUAAGCUUGAAGGCCACCUAACAAAGUCUCUAAAGAAUCUCAAAGGGUCUGAUAUACCUAGGGCUCAAUUUACACUUCUUUCUGAGCCACAUCACACCCAUCAUGGGUGAAUCCCGGAGCAAAAUCCUCUCUCCAACCAUGAAUGCAACAUUACGAGCUCUACGAUCGGCAUAACUCUUUUGCCUAGAUUAGGCUAUGCGAAGUCAAUCAUGAAUCGUCUUGACCUUUUCUAAGGCAUCCUAAACCAAAUCGGUACCUAAUAGCGGAGCCUCUCCCGACUCAAACCAACUAACUGGCGAACGAUACUGCCUCCAAUGUAAUGCUUCAUAGGGAGCCAUCUGAAUACUCGAUUGGUAGAUGUUGUUGUAGGCAAAAUCCCCAAGCGGCAAAAACUCAUCCCAUGAACCCCCGAAAUCCAUAACGCAGGCGCGAAAGCAUUUCCUCCAAUAUCUUGAUGGUGCUCCCGGACUGUCCAUCCGUUUGGGGGUGAAUAUUGUACUCAACUUAACCCAUGUGCCUAACUCAUGUUAUACGACCCUCCAGAAGUGCCAUAUGAACUGCGUACCCCGAUCAGAAAUAAUGGACACCGGCAUUACCGUGAAGAUGAACAAACUCGCAGAUAUAGAUCUCAUCCAACCGCUCUAAAAAAUAGGUAACUGCUACUGGAAUGAAAUGUGCCGACUUGGUCAGCCUGUCCAUAAUGACCCAUACUGCGUCGAAUUUCUUCGAGGUCCGUGGGAGCCCAACAACAAAAUCUAUGGUACUAUGCUCCCACUUCCACUCGGGAAUCUCAAGCCUCUGAAGCAAAUUACCAAGCCUCUGAUGCUCAUACUUUACUUGCUGGAAAUUAAAGCACCGAGCCACAUAUACAAUUAUAUCUUUCUUCAUUCUUCUCCACCAAUAAUGCUGCCUCAAAUCCUGAUACAUCUUGGCGGCACCUGGAUGAAUAGAAUAUCGCAAACUUUGGGCCCCCUCAAGAAUCAACUCAUGAAGUCCAUCCACAUUGGGCGUGUCACACCUCCUUUUUUACUACCCCGGAAGGGAGUAUAAGGGAGUUUGUUUCCAACUUAAAGUGACAAUCGAAACAGGAUUAUUUAAUUAUUAAAUUCAAAGUUGCCACUUGGGAUAAUUUUAAGGUGUCCCAAGUCACCGGUUCAAAUCUCGAAUCGAGGAAAAUAUUAACUCUGUUUUACAGUCUGCGAACACCGAAAUCCGGGUAAGGAAUUCUGUUAACCCGAGAGAAGGUGUUAGGUAUUCCGGGUUCCGUGGUUUUAGCACGGUCGCUCAACUGUUAUUCUUGGACUAUUAUCUGAUUUUAAAACAUGUUUUAGUCUGUGGUUCAACUUUAACUUAAAAACCGCUUUUAUUUAUUUUAAAGAAGAUUUGACAUCGUCUAAAACAUAUCUUUGGACCGCGCCACAUGAAAUACACCCGCAAUCCGAAACAUAUUUUACUCAACGUUAUUAAGAUUUAGAUUUGGGUCAUAUGAAAUGCACACCCGAGUUUAGGAAGGUAAAUUUUAAAAUACGCACCUAAAGCAACUACGCACUUUCAAAUUUGCGAGGGCCAUGGAAAAUUCAACUAAAUGGCACGCCUCGAUUUCUAAGGAUUAAAAUUAAUGGAGGGUCAUGAGUUUUGAGAUUAUUGUGAGGCCAUUAAAUUAUGGACAUUAAUUGUGAUAAAUAAAGAACUGAUCGCUACGAACAGUCAUAAAGUUGGCAGAUUUAAUUCGAUCAAUUCUUGCACUUGACAAUCAUGCCCAACUCCUUACUGGUCCAAUAUUCGGGUUUUUAUUGCCUUUAAUGUUCAUAAAAAAUAGCAUAAUAUAAAUACUUCAAUUCUAGCAAGAUAGCUUAAAAUAAACCAAAAUUAAGGAAGAACUACGCCUAAAAAAAUCGUGAACAUUAAACACCUAGGCGUAGACAAUUGAGUUUGGACCUACAACACUAAUUGCUAAUUCUGUCAUCAAACAGUGAAUUUAAUUAAAGAAACUAGAACAAAUUUUUAUUAGCUUAUAAAGACAAUAAAAUGAAGGCAAAGCUAUAUUAAUAAGUAAAUUACAUUAGGCAUAUAACUACCAGCUAAUCACAUGUAUCUUAAUCAGUUUUUAAUGAGAUCAGUCACUCAUACUCAAGCACAAAUUAGGCACCGAACGCAUCAAAUUUCCAUUCGCAAGCUCGAAAUAGAAGAGAACGGUUUACAUACCUAAAUGCAAAAAUACCACAAGAAUGGGCUGGGUAGAGAUCUUAAUAGCAACAAUACAUCUCUCAACAACCAAACCCGGACUUUACAGCAGCUCACCGCGCAAGGUUUCAAUUUAAAAGAGAAGAAAGCCAAAUAAGACUGGAAUUGACGAGUUUGAAGCUCGGCAACAACAGAAUCAACACAACCCAGCUUCCAUUUCUGAAAUAAAUCAACUCGGACCCCAGAAGUUAUAGAAGUAAUGCAACAGAAAUUGAACCAGAUUUGACAAUUCUUUGUAGUUCUUUCUUUACUCUUUUUUUUGAAGCUUUGAGGGAGGGGAUUCGUCUGGUUCUUUUUUACAUGAAAAGGGAUCUAAAUCAGUCUCCUAUGUGUUUCAAAGAGAGGUGUGGGUUGAGGAUGAGAAGCAUCAGCGUUUUCUUUUGGUGUCGAAGAAAUGGGUAUCCCUUUUCCCUGCAGUGCUACCCUUUUGUCGGGGAUCUUUUUAGGUCUCCCAAAAUGUGAUCUCUUUUGUGCCUUAGCUACCCUUUACGUGACGUGAGGGAUUAGGGUAUAAAAAAUGAAAAAAGGGGUAAUGGGUCAAAUGAGUAUUGGUAUUGGAAUUGGG